GGGAAUGUAGCUCAGUGGGAGAGUGCUCACCUUGCAUGUGGAAGGUACUGGGUUCGAUCCUCAGCACCA
rnacentral:tRNA from 1 species